UACGAAGGGGGCUAGCGUUGCUCGGAAUCACUGGGCGUAAAGGUGCGUAGGCGGGUCUUUUAAGUCAGGGGUGAAAUCCUGGAGCUCAACUCCAGAACUGCCUUUGAUACUGAAGAUCUUGAGUUCGGGAGAGGUGAGUGGAACUGCGAGUGUAGAGGUGAAAUUCGUAGAUAUUCGCAAGAACACCAGUGGCGAAGGCGGCUCACUGGCCCGAUACUGACGCUGAGGCACGAAAGCGUGGGGAGCAAACAGG
rnacentral:rRNA from 1 species